rnacentral:sRNA from 1 species
GCUGAGUAUGGUGGUUCACACCUGUAAUCCCAGUGACUCAGGAGGCUGAGACAGGAGGAUUCCAAGUUCAAGACCAGCCUGGGCAACUUAGUGAGAUCCUGUCUCAA